ACAACAACGGCUCUCGGCAACGGAUAUCUCGGCUCUCGCAUCGAUGAAGAACGUAGCGAAAUGCGAUACUUGGUGUGAAUUGCAGAAUCCCGUGAACCAUCGAGUCUUUGAACGCAAGUUGCGCCCGAAGGCCAUUCGGCCGAGGGCACGCCUGCCUGGGUGUCACGC
rnacentral:rRNA from 1 species